GAGGAGAGUCACUGACUGGAGCGCUUGCCCCCUCCCUUCCCCAUCGCCCCAGCGCUCCCUCCCGCGCAGAGGAGCCCGCCCUGCUCUCCUCCUCCCGCCCGCCAAGCGCAGCCCUCCUCCUCCUCCUCCCUCCGUGCUGCCGCCGCCGCCGCCGCUGCCCCUGCCCCUCUUCUCCCUCCUCCCCCUGGCUCUGCUCCUCCUGCUGCUGCUGCUCAGUGCCGCUCGAGCCACACUCCCAAGCAGACGCCCGCCCGCCCGCCGGACCCGGGAGCAACAGCAGCAGGAGACGCCGCUGAGGCCCGUUACAUAUACUUGAUACAUUUGGUGGACUUUUUCCAAGAAUAUCCUUUCAUUGACCAGGAACAAGCUGCAAACCUAACAAAGACCUCAGAGAGAGAGAAGAUCUGCUGUUUGCUCUGUGUUGUGAAGUUGGAAAUUAUCAAGAUUAUGGGGUGAUAAUUCUGCUGACAUUUGUAGUUUAAUUCAUUCUUCUCUAUGUUUUGCUCUUGCUUGGUGCAAACAACCUUUAGAUUUUAGUAGAGCAAACUACACUCAAAGCAUCUGUUGUUUGGCCUGAAUAGAGAAUUCAUUUUCUGGAAUUUUUUUUCUUUCUUUAAAAAUGUUCUUGGAUCCCAUCCUUUGUAUACAGUAUAAGUGCUGAAAACUGGCUGUGGAACUCCCAGGUCAUUAGGUGGCAGCAUUCUUAAUUCUUUGCUGCCACUUAGAGGUUAGUCAAAGUACUGCAGCCAAAUCUGGUAGAGAAGGAAGAGAAGAAGAAAAAAGGCCUGUUUAAUAACAUCCAACGUGGAAGCCCCUAUGGCAGAGGUGUCAAACUCACAUCGUACGGCAGCAUCACGUGACGUAGCGGGACUUUUUCCCCCUUCGCUAAACCAGGCGUGAGCGUGGCCAGUGUGUAAGGCAUUGGGCCGGGAGUUCGACAGCCCUGCCCUAUGGUCUUUUUCUUUCCAGCUUCUUUGCAGUAAACUCAGAACACAUGUUGAAACCUAAGAUUUUAUUAAGCAGGUAAAUUCGUAACUAGCUAAUCUAAUGGGAGUUUUAUUUGGAAUUCUGUUUGUACAGUUCUUGCCUUUUCUUGCAUUUCUGAAUUUCCCUUCCCCCCCAAAAAAAACAUAUUUUUGUAUGCAGAGGUUUAGUUUAAUUAUUUUACUAAGUUCCUGAGUGCAAGAUGAGGCAGUUGGUUAGCUAGCAGUUGUGUUUAAAGAUUGGUGCUAAAUUGUUAAAAUAUAUUACUUCUGGAUUUUAGGGCUGGAUGAUCCACAGGUUUUCCUAUUUUUCCUAGAGGUGAGGUGAAAAAAGAAGUCCUUGGAUGGAACUCCCAAAUCAUACUAAAAAGAUUCAGGCUGAUCUCUAGCAGCCUAUCCUAACAACCUUUUUCUGGAAAAUUCUUUGAAAAAUACCGAUUGGUGGGAUACUUUAAAAUUACCCCUUUUCCCAGUUUGCAUCACCCGGCUUCAUUUGAAUUAUAUAUAUAUAUAUACACACACACACACACACACACACACACACACACACACCACUUUAGUCCAAUUAUUGGAUUUCCUAAAUCAGUAUUCCAAGCAACUCCAGUAUUCUGGAAAGACAAUUCAUAAUUGGUAAUAAUAGCAUACUUAGACAUUAUUUCUGUUGGUUGAUUAUUUCUGUUUAAAUAAUGUUAAAUACUCAAAAAUAGUACAGGUAGUCCUCAAUUUAACAACCAUAAUUGGACCCAAAAUUUCCAUUGUUGUUAAGUGAAUCACUGCCAUUCUAAAGUGAACCAUGGCAAUCAUUAAACUAAUCUGGCUUCCCCCAUUAACGUUGCCUGUCAGAAGAAGUCUAGGAAGGUUAUACAUGGUGAUCACAUGACCUCAGGACAGUGUAACUGUCAUAAAUACGUGCAAUUUACCAAAGGCCUUAAUUUUGAUCACAUGACCAUGGGGAUGCUGUAACCUGUGUGAAUUGGUGAAAACCAGUCAUAUGUCACUUUUUCAGUGCCGUUGUAACUUUGAGCAACCAGUAAACUAUUGGUUGUAAGUCGAGGACUACCUGUAUAUGGGCACAUUCUUGACUUCACCUAUUAUAGUCUUAAACUCUUGCCAGAAAAAGCAAUAUAACUGGCAGACAGCCCAGUCUAUUUCAUGGCCCAAAAUUGGUAUAAAAAUAAUCCUGUAAAAGUUAUAAUUCUUCAAAAAAUUUAGUUGAUCUGACCCAUAUUAAAGUUUUGCAAACAUUAAAAGGAUUAGAGGAAAAUGUCACCUAUUUUUUUCAAAAUUUGAAAUAUUGUGCCAGUAAAGUAUUAUUAAUUUUGUAUAUGCUGGGGAAAUUUUUCAUCUGGAAAAAUAUAUAAUUCAAAAGAUUGUCAACUUCUGCUAUAAUAUCUGUAUCAAUCCUCUGCUUAGUUAGGGUGCUCCACUAUAAAUGGAAUCAAAUAACUUAAUUCUGCUUAUUUAUAAUAGAUAUUUGGAAGCCCCCAGCCUCCCUGUGACUGAUAUAAAAUAUUUCUAGUUUUGUUUUCUUAAAAUUGAAAUGAAAGCUUUCAGUUGUCUUUGCCAUUUCAUUAGUAUUUUGUCUGGCAUUUCAAAUGGGAAGGAUUUUAAACAAAUUAAGAUUGGAAAGAACUUGCUGGAGAAACAUUUUUAGUGAAACUAGUAUAAUUACAAAGCAGUCUCUCAAAUGCUUUCCCAAGUUAGGUUUAUUGUAUCUAUUUGUACAAUCCAACAGUUCACUUAUAAUAAUAAACUGAUUGUCAAUUUACUUAAGGCAACAACAUUCUGCAAUGCAUGACAUUCCUGAAUUUCUUGAAAAUAUAACAAUUGAUUUGUCAAUUACAAGUGCCUUCUUAAUUCCCUUAUUAGAAAAAAAAAUCACUGAUAGAUUUAGAAUAAUGAACUUUCAGAGGCAAGAACCACACUUUUAUCAUACUUGGGCAGAUUAAAUUCCAAAACGCAAAAUUGCAAAAGGUGUAAUCUUGUCAAUUCUUGUUAUAUAUGGAAAUGGUGAACAACGUUUGGACUUUUCAAAUUAGUGGUGACUUUUGCUUUUUAUUUAUUCAUAUCCUUUUUUUGUAUUUGUACUCACAGCAUUGUACAUUAUUUGCUUAAUAUUUUUCUCAUUGUGUAAAUUGCUUUUCCAUUUUUAAAAAUCUAAAUAAAAAAACUGAAACAA